AUGGCGUGUAAAAGAAACCUGAGUUUUACUACUCCCGUGAGUAAUAGGGCUUUGCAACCAGCAGCAAGCCCACUGAGCAUAAAUGAUAUAAUGAAACAGCUGAUCUCCGGUCAGAACGCUUUGUCUCGUCAGCUUGAGGGUUUGAUGGAGAAGCAAGCUGCAAACACUGUUCUUCUCGAAGAUGCUAUCCAGCGUCUUUGUGCUCUUGAGCGAAAGUUUGACGGGCAAAGACCGCAAGAGGAACAAAGACCGCGGGAAGAGCCAUUACAUAAAAGGAUAAAGAGGGCGCACAACGUGGGCAUUGCGGAAGCUGUAAGGCGCCUUCACAAUUCGGAAAACAACCCACAUAAAUAUGAUCCACAAACUGGAAUAAGUUUGCCUCGUAACCAAGCAGUCAUGACUUAUCAGCUAGAGGAAUUGAAAUCAACUUUUGCAGAUGCAGACCCUGAGUGUAUACAAGCGUGUUGCAAGACAUACUUUGAAACACUUCGGAGAAAGUACAAUUUGUCUCAGCCAGAAAAGUCCCAGCUAAGAGAUGCCAUUAAAACAGGAGCUAAAAACCGACAAAGGAAAAGACGGUUGCUGGAUUCCAGGUCCAAGGUUGUUCAAACCGAUGCAGAGAGAGAGCUUUGGCAGACUGCAACAGUGGAGCUGAUGUCUGACGAGGAGGAUGCCAUUGUUGAUGGAAGGCCAGUGUGGAUUGUGAGGUCUCCAUCUCACAGGAACCCACAAUUGUCAGAACUUUGUGAGGAGCUUCAGCGCAGAUUGGAGGCAGACAUGCGCUACACUAUUUUGCAUCAUCAGCGUGUUAAGGCUGAUGGAAAUGGACAUGAUGGACCUUGCUUUCUUCAACUUUAACUAAACUGCACUGGUUUUGCAAUUUUAAUAAUUGCACCACAAACUGCACAUUUUCACUUAUUCUCUUCUAUUUUAUCUUAUUCUUUGUAUACUUAUUAGGUUAGAUUUAUUUAGUUUCAUAUUCUGCAACUUAUUUUCUUUUAAUAUUGUUUGUGUUUGCUGUGUUUGGUUACAUUUUAAAUACUUUGUGCUGUGUGUACAUAUUAAGUAGUUUAUUUAGUUUUAUAUUCUGUAACUGUUAUAAUAUUGCUUGUUUAGUAAAAUUUUAUAAAAGUACUUUGCUUUGUGUACAUAUUAUUUAGUUUUAUAUUCUCUAACUGUUAUAAUAUUGCUUGUGUUUAGUAAAAUUUUAUAAAAGUACUUUGCUUUGUGUACAGUUCCUAUAGUUUUAUUUAUAUAUUUAAUGCUUUAUAUAUUUAAUGCUUUAAGUGUUUUGGUUUAAUUUUAAUAAUAAGAAAUUCUGAAUCCAUUCUGUUUUCCAUUUUUGAGGGGGUUGGGUUGUAUAGUGGGUGGGGUGGUUAUGGUUUAUUAACAUAGCUGGCCAAAACCAAUCAAGUCACUAUGCUAUGAGGGCUUGGGUUGGGCUAAAUGAAAACCGUGACCAAUCAAAUACUAGUAUCAGGAAAUUGACAGGUCACUGUCCCAAUAGUUGUCAGGGUUUGGGGUGUGUUUUUUUUAACAAUUCUGUAACUGUUAUAAUAUUGCUUGUGUUUGGUUAAAUUUUAUAAAAGU
ensembl:lncRNA